rnacentral:rRNA from 1 species
GACGAACGCUGGCGGCGUGCCUAAUACAUGCAAGUUGAGCGCUGAAGGUUGGUACUUGUACCAACUGGAUGAGCAGCGAACGGGUGAGUAACGCGUGGGGAAUCUGCCUUUGAGCGGGGGACAACAUUUGGAAACGAAUGCUAAUACCGCAUAAAAACUUUAAACACAAGUUUUAAGUUUGAAAGAUGCAAUUGCAUCACUCAAAGAUGAUCCCGCGUUGUAUUAGCUAGUUGGUGAGGUAAAGGCUCACCAAGGCGAUGAUACAUAGCCGACCUGAGAGGGUGAUCGGCCACAUUGGGACUGAGACACGGCCCAAACUCCUACGGGAGGCAGCAGUAGGGAAUCUUCGGCAAUGGACGAAAGUCUGACCGAGCAACGCCGCGUGAGUGAAGAAGGGUGUCGGAUCGUAAAACUCUGUUGGUAGAGAAGAGCGUUGGUGAGAGUGGAAAGCUCAUCAAGUGACGGUAACUACCCAGAAAGGGACGGCUAACUACGUG